GCCGAGUAUGAUGUGAUCAUGGAAAGCACAAAGGACUUGGAAUUUGAUCAAGAGCUUGUAGCCGCGAAAGAGCUUGAAGCAGAGGAGCAGCUUGAACCUGAGGAGCAUUUUGAAGCAGAAAAUGAACUUAUAACGGAGAAAGAGUAUGGGAAAGAUGUUAUCUUAACCUCAUUGGUUUUGAUACAUGAUCAUCAAAUGGGCAUGUGUCUCAUUUGUACUCUUUUUCCCUUGUCAAGUUUUGUCCCAAUGGGUUUUCUUGACAAGGUUUUUAAUGAGGCAAAUGAUUCACAUUCAAAUCACCCAUUUGAUGAUCCAAACCAUGGUAUAACUUUCAGAAGUUGGCCUCAAGGAAUAUAUAUCAAGUCCAAGUCAUUUUAUGCCCAUUACAAGCCCAAGAAGAGCCCAAACCAAGUGGUUAAUUUGAUGGUCAAGAGGAGUGACGAAAAUGGAAGUUUAAGGGUCAUCUUUAAAGUGAAAGAGUUUUUUCUAUUCAAAUUCUAUCUUUAAUAUUAUGUUGUGUUUCUAAGCAGCCUUGGAGUAUGU
rnacentral:sRNA from 1 species